GGUGCCUUGGCGAAGUGGUUAUCGCGCUCCGUUUGGGCUACAUAUAGUUCUUCGGAGAAGUCAGGGGUUCGAAUCCCCUAGGCACCC